rnacentral:rRNA from 1 species
GGUGACCUGCGGAGGGACAUUACACAAAUAUGAAGGCGGGCUGGAACCUCUCGGGGUUACAGCCUUGCUGAAUUAUUCACCCUUGUCUUUUGCGUACUUCUUGUUUCCUUGGUGGGUUCGCCCACCACUAGGACAAACAUAAACCUUUUGUAAUUGCAAUCAGCGUCAGUAACAAAUUAAUAAUUACAACUUUCAACAACGGAUCUCUUGGUUCUGGCAUCGAUGAAGAACGCAGCGAAAUGCGAUAAGUAGUGUGAAUUGCAGAAUUCAGUGAAUCAUCGAAUCUUUGAACGCACAUUGCGCCCUUUGGUAUUCCAAAGGGCAUGCCUGUUCGAGCGUCAUUUGUACCCUCAAGCUUUGCUUGGUGUUGGGCGUCUUGUCUCUAGCUUUGCUGGAGACUCGCCUUAAAGUAAUUGGCAGCCGGCCUACUGGUUUCGGAGCGCAGCACAAGUCGCACUCUCUAUCAGCAAAGGUCUAGCAUCCAUUAAGCCUUUUUUUCAACUUUUGACCUCGGAUCAGGUAGGGAUACCCGCUGAACUUAAGCA